AACCGAGUCACACCAGCCAGGAUGUGAAGGCAAGGCCGUCGUAGACGAGCCAACGGCUACACACGUGACCAAGUCCAGCCCAAACCGGAGGAGGCGCCCAGUGGAGCCAAACAAGAUCAGCAGAGCUGCAAAGCUGGCCAGUCAAGGCAUGCCAGUGACACUUACUCCGGUAGCGAAAGGGCAGGGUGCCAGCAACAUGAAGCAGAGAAGGGGCGUGGGCUCUACCGCUCCAGUUUAUUCAAGGAAAAUUCUGAAACCCACCUUCCUGCUCUUAGCCCCUCAUCCACCUUCCAGAGUUUCCUGCUCCACCCCUGCUGGGGAUGGGGUUACAACGACAUCAUCUGAUUGCCUCACUUGGUGACAGCAGCUCUUAGCAACUAGCUGUAGAGGUAUUUCUCCUUUUCUGUCCUCACCCUCGAGACCCCUCGCUGCCUCCCCAUUUUGGAGAUUCUAGCCUGGAAUCUGAAAGCGGGAGCUCGGAUGGGCAGUGCUUCUGGUACCUCGCUUUGCCUGCCCUCCCCUCCU